CUUCUCUCAGCCUCUGCGUCUGACCCUUUUUCUACCUGAAAAAGUCAGUCUGGAGUAGUUAAGUCAUGGAAAUGAACACAAACAAACAAAACACACAAAGGACUUAAGUCGGAAAAUAAAUGCGGAAGACCACAAAGGUGGAGAAGAGGCAUGGGCUACUGAAGACCGUGAAGAAAUAGAGCCAGGGGUCAGUAAGUGCUGGGCAGGCCGGCUGGAGUCAGACAGUGCAGGUCACCAGCAGAGGUGAAGUCUUUGAGGCGGGGGCAGGCGGGGGCACAUCUCAGAUCUAUAACAAGGCAGGGAGAACCACCUUCUUAGUCUUCAGAGUCAUAAAAACAAAUUCCGGUUCCAGAUUUUCUUUAAUUUUUUUCAACAAGUGUUUUCUGCUUUUCUGUGUUUAGGUUUUGUAUUCUUUUAAGUGUAUUCCCAAGCAUUUUUGUUCUUCUGGGUACAACAAAUUUGCUAGUACAUGGAAAACAAAUGAUUCUUUGCUGUAGAAUCUGUGUUCUCCCACACUGAAGAACUUCCUUGUGUCAAUGAACUUUUUAGGAUGGGAAAAGGAACAUGGUCACGGGGGCCACUGGGGGUGCACCUGGCUAAACACACACAUCAUCAAGUGCAAGGACCUAGGUACAAGACCCCACUCCCAAUCAGGAGGGAGGGGCUUUACAAGUGGAGAAGUGGGUCUGCAGGAGUCUUUUUCUGUUCUUCUCUAUCUCCCCACCCCUUUUCUCUCUAUCCUGUCCAGGAAAAAAAAAAAUAGAAGGGAAAAAAAAAUGGGGAAAAUGGCUGCCAGGAGCUGUGGAUUUGUAGUGAAGACACUGAGCCUCAGCGUUAACUCUGGUGACAAAAAACAAACAAACAAAAAAAGUCUAGUUUUGUUUUUGUUGAAUUCCUGAUUAUCUAACUGCCUUAGCUAGAACUGCCAAUUCAGUUUUAGAGCUGGAAAUCCAGGCUGACUCUUUCAGGCAGAAAAACAGACGGACAGGAUGACAACAAAGCUUGCUUCAGCGCAACUCCCUGGGGAAAAUGUUCUCUUGGCUGUGUACCUGGCACAAACGGUGUUGUGCCAGGUUGAUUACUGAUUUGCGUUGAAAAUCAAGCAUUUUAAAAUAACACAACACAUCUAUUUUCAGAUCCUUCCUAUCCCUUCGGUGAUGUUGGCUGAUUUUCUUUGUGUUCAUUUCCUUGUUUCUGAUGACUUGUGUAUAGAAAACGAAGUCAUGUCUAUUCUGACAACAAAAAUAUUCUAUUAUGGGGGGUAGCCACCAAGCUCUGUGUUAGCUUUCUUUACAUUUUUCGAUUUACAGCUCAAGCUUGACUUCAGAGAAGUCACUUCUGGGCCACUAUAGUUAAGUGACCAUCCAAUGAUGAUUCAGGUUUCUUUGAAUGUCCUGUUGCUACGUCAUCUGUGGAGAAAUCAGUUUGAGUGGGCCAGGUGGUAUAACACAGUGGGUGAAGCUCACACAAUGCAAGGACCAGCAUAAAAAUCCAGGUUCGAGUCCCUGGCUCCCCACCUUCGGGGUGGGGGUGGGGUCGGGGUCACUUCACAAGCAGUAAAGCAGGUCUGCAGGUGUCUAUCUUUCUCUCCCUGUUUUCCCCUCCUCUCUCGAUUUCUCUUUAUCCUGUCCAAUAACAAUAAUGACAAGAGUGACAAAAAUGGGCAAGGUGGCCUCCAGGAGCAGUGGGUUUGUAGUGCAGGCACCGAGCCCCAGCAGUAACCCUGGAGGCAAAAUAAAUGAGAAAUCAGUUUGAAAAGAACCCUUCAAACGUCAAGCAGCUCCAAAGGCAUCAGCAUUAGCUUUCACUUCCUGCGUAUUCAGGGUCUGAAAGUCAGUCAUGGGUGAGUUACAAGAGCCCGUCCUCUCCUAAGUAUUUCUGGGGCAGGUGCAAAGCCUUCACAUGUACUUGGCCUAACAGAUUCCUUCUGUUAGCAUUCCAAGCAGUCCUUCGAGUAAGCGCAAGUAUGGUCAUCACUUUCAAGUUUCUUGUCAAAUUUUACUCGCCCUUAACACCCACACCUCACUGCAGUCAGUCUUAAGACAGUUAGUGUUAGACGUUCUGCUUUUAUUUUGUUUUGGUUCUGGGAGAGUUAAUCUGAGGCAAAACAAAUAUCCACAACACAAGGGGGACAGAUUUUCCAAGAAUGGCCAAUUGAGAGACCAUGUUUACUCGCAGCACACAGCUUUAAUGGAAUUUCCAAGGAGGUCAGACCUCUCUGGUGGUUCCAAAGCCUCUGGCUUUAUGCACCCACACCACUGAGCUGAGGAGGAGGAGGAUGGAAAAAGCCUCAGGUUAAAAUGUCACAGCACCCACCAUCUUGCCAAGGUCUAUCCACAUUUCUUUUGUACAGAUGACUUACUCUUUGAUUUCUGUUAAAUUCUAGAAUUUCAAAUGGUUGAGUUGGUUUUGUCUCUGUUUUUGUUGGCUUAGUACUAGAGAGAAUGUACUGAAAUGCUCUCCUCUUGCCAUUUUAGAACUCAAGUCUCUAGAAAUGAUUCUUAUCUUUCGGAAUUUAUUGAAACUUGUUUCAGAGCCCAAUAGUCUAUGCGAUAAGUCCUGUAUAUCCUUGGAGAAAAGGGUAUGCCUUGUAGCAGCUGAGUGUAGUAUUCUAGCCAGUUAGGUUAAGUCAGUUACAUCAUUUCAUUCAAACCUUCCAUUUUUGCUAAUAUGUCUAAUCUGCUUCUAGUACGAGUUGAUGAAAGUGUUUAGCCAAAAACUCCAAAUUGGUAUAUGGAUUUGUCUAUUCUUUUCAGUUAUGGCAACUUGUGAUUUAUUUAAUUCAUAAUAAAUUAUGCAUUCAAAACUA